CAUUUAUUUAAUAAAAUAUAUGUGUUGUGUUUGAUAAGAUUUGUCUAAUCUUAGUUUAACUAAUAUAUAAGCUCUUUGUUGAUUUUGCAGGAAUUUCUAUUUGUGAACUCGAAAUGUAAGAGGUAUUUCCACAACCGUUUGAAACCUUUGAAGCUCACAUGGACUGCCAUGUACAGAAAGCAACACAAGAAGACAUUGCCCAAGAGGCUGUGAAGAAGAGGCACUACGCCACCAAGAAGCCAUACAGAAGAAAAGUUGCUCUCCGUGAAAUCAAAGAGAGGAUUAAGAAAACAAAGGAUUUGAAGGUGUCUGCUGAUCUAAGGGCAUCAAUCUAGAAAUAAAUGUCUGAUGUUGGGAUCAAGUAUAUUCCAAGCAACACUUUCUCUUACUAUGAGCAGGUACUUGAUGCCACUGCUACCGUCGGUGCCGUUCCUGAAGAUUGAAGAUAUAUUCAAUGACAAAUUGCUCCAAUUUGUCAAUAUUAAUCUGCAGGAGAUCAAGCUAAGAAGAAUAUUUAAGCAGUUUCUGUUGGAGAAAAGAAAAAAAGAAGAGAGUUGUGCAUAUCUUUGUAAAGCUGAAGAAGAAUUUGGAAAUCUAUGACAGUUAAUGGUAAUCAAGAAAAACAUAUAGCUGUGCAUAUCAAUAAAUCCAAAAUCAAUAACAAAAUGUUGUGGUAGCUGCCAGUUCAGGAUUCAGCUAGAAUCAAUUUUAGAAAACAAAAGUCUAUAUUUGUACAAACCUAACAAAUUCAUAAAUAAAGCAAAUCACUUUUAGCUUGUGAUUUUCUCAGCUUAAAAAUCGAAGUCAUAAAAAUUCAU